AGCUCCAAUAGCGUAUAUUCAGGUUGUUGCGGUAAACAAAACUCGUAGUUGGAUUUCUGUUGAGGACGACCGGUGCACCCAUUGGGUGAGCAUCUGGCUCGGCCUCGGCAUCUUCUUGGUGAACGUGGCUGCGCUUGACUGUGUGGUGCGGUACCCAGGACUUCUACUUUGAGGAAAUUCGAGUGUCUCAAGCAGGCACACGCCUUGAAUACAUUAGCAUGGAGUAAUAAGAUAGGGCCUCGGUUCUAUUUUGUUCGUUUCUAGAGCUGAGGUAAUGAUUAAUAGGGAUAGUUAGGGGCAUUCGUAUUUAACUGUCAGAGGUGGAAUUCUUGCUAAAGACGGAUUACAGCAAACACAUUGCCAAGGAUGUUUUCA
rnacentral:rRNA from 1 species